CCCCCACUAGCUCUAUUGGUAGAGCAUGAGACUCAUAAUCUCAGGGUAGUGGGUUCGUGUCCCUCGUUGGGCG
rfam:Lepisosteus oculatus linkage group LG10, whole genome shotgun sequence.